UUAAAAAUAAAGAUAUGGCAUAAGAUGGUUUGAAAUGCAGGAUGUGUCCAGCGUCAGAUAAGAGGGUCCAAAGGAAAAUCCCUCCGCGGAACCAUACCAAACCAACAAUUCCUAUGGCGGCGCUGCCUCUUCUCCGGUGGGGCGCCUCCUCCCUCCACGCCCACUUCUCCCCUACCCCGCCGCGACGCCUCUUCUCCGCUCUCCGACAGCCCCCUGCCGCCGGCCGCUACGAGCCAGGCUCCAGGGUCAUGCUUAAGGGGAUGGACUACCCAGAGCUCGAGAAAUGGGUGCAGUCGCAAGGAUUCCGACCGGGACAGGCCAUGAUGCUGUGGAAAUGCCUCUACGGGAACAACGUCUGGGCGCAUUGCCACGACGAGCUGGCUGGCUUGAACAAGGACUUGAGGAAAAUGAUAAGUGAUCAUGCUGAUCUCAAGGCAUUAACUGUUAAAGACAUUAUUACUGCAUCGGAUGGAACCCGAAAGAUACUGUUCUCUCUUGAAGAUGCCUCUGUGAUUGAAACAGUUGUCAUUCCUAGCGCCAGGGGCCGGACAACGGUCUGUGUUUCAAGUCAAGUGGGCUGUGCCAUGAAUUGUCAGUUUUGCUUCACUGGGAGGAUGGGUUUGAGAAAGCAUUUGUCUACAGCUGAGAUAGUUGAGCAGGCUGUGUUUGCUCGUAAGCUAUUUUCAGAUGAAUUUGGUUCUAUUACAAAUGUUGUAUUUAUGGGCAUGGGCGAGCCGUUGCACAACGUAGAUAACGUAAUAAAAGCAUCAUCUAUAAUGGUUGAUGAGCAGGGCCUUCAGUUUAGUCCUCGCAAGGUUACUGUAUCCACAAGUGGUCUCGUUCCAGAGAUAAAACGCUUUCUCAAUGAAUCCAAUUGUGAUCUGGCCGUGAGUCUUAAUGCAACAACUGAUGAGGUUAGGAAUUGGAUAAUGCCCAUUAACAGAAGGUACAAUCUUAGCACGCUUCUUGGCACUUUAAGGGAGGAACUUCGUUUGAGACCUAAGUCCAUAGUGCUAUUUGAAUACGUCAUGCUUGCUGGAGUGAAUGACAGCACGGAUGAUGCGAAGAGGCUUAUGGAGCUGGUUCACGGUAUUCCCUGCAAGAUCAACCUAAUCUCUUUCAAUCCCCAUAGUGGGUCACAAUUCAAGCCGACGCCCGAUGAGAGCAUUAUCGAGUUCCGCAACAUGUUAAUCCAAUCCGGCCUUACCGUUAUGGUUCGGCUAAGCAGAGGCGAUGACCAGAUGGCUGCCUGCGGGCAGCUAGGAGCGCCUGGUGACUAUCAGCUACCGCUGCUCCGUGUUCCUGAGAAAUUUCAGGUCGCCUUAUGAAGCUAAAUACGUAGUGCUCGUACGGUAGUAAAACAGAUGCCUGGGAACAACUUCAGGAAGACAAGGCAGUAAUAUGCGUGUAAUGAGGAUAAAACCACGCUGAUUCUUUCAGAAAUAAGAACAUUUGGUCAGCAAAGAACCUGCAUCUUUUUCUGUUUGAUGCAGGGACGGCUAGGUAUCAAAUAAAGACGAGACGCACCUCUGGAUCGGCAUGCUCCAAGCAACUUUGAGUAGACGCAUGACAUCCGGGCAUCUCACAUAGCUUCUGACGCGGUCUGAGUCGCCAAAGUCGAUUGUGUUGCAGGUAGUAGUUCCAAAAGACUCGAAUCUACUCAGCUAUUGCUGGUCAUGUUGGAUUAGAUGAUGCAGGAACGACAGAAAGACAAGAAAAGGGCCUACGUGCAUGCUUUGCCUUGCUUGAGAUACCUUAACCGUUAAGGUGUGCCACCACCUGACCUGACCACCCUACUUAGAAAAGAAAAGAAAAGGGCAAAGUGAUCUAACACAAGACCCACCAACCAAUGCGCCUUCUUUCCAAAAGCAAUUGCAUUACAAGACCGCACCAAUGGGGAUUUGGGCGCCUUUAGCACUAUAAUCUGCUGCCAAAAUGGAGUAGCGGCCUACACCUGCUUCCUUGCUUUAGUGUAGAUAGAAGAUUGCUUGCUUGGAUUUUGACAUCCCAGACAAAGGAAUUCUACGGCUGCUGU